rnacentral:rRNA from 1 species
GAUGAACGCUGGCGGCGUGCCUAAUACAUGCAAGUCGAGCGAACAGACGAGGAGCUUGCUCCUCUGACGUUAGCGGCGGACGGGUGAGUAACACGUGGAUAACCUACCUAUAAGACUGGGAUAACUUCGGGAAACCGGAGCUAAUACCGGAUAAUCUAUUGAACCGCAUGGUUCAAUAGUGAAAGACGGUUUUGCUGUCACUUAUAGAUGGAUCCGCGCCGCAUUAGCUAGUUGGUAAGGUAACGGCUUACCAAGGCAACGAUGCGUAGCCGACCUGAGAGGGUGAUCGGCCACACUGGAACGGAGACACGGUCCAGACUCCUACGGGAGGCAGCAGUAGGGAAUCUUACGCAAUGGGCGAGAGCCUGACGGAGCAACGCCGCGUGAGUGAUGAAGGUCUUCGGAGCGUAAAACUCUGUUAUUAGGGAAGAACAAAUGUGUAAGUAACUAUGCACGUCUUGACGGUACCUAAUCAGAAAGCCACGGCUAACUACGUG